CUGAUCGCCAUGCCGCGUGUGUGAAGAAGGUCUUCGGAUUGUAAAGCACUUUAAGUUGGGAGAGUCCCAUUAAUACCUUGCUGUUUUGACGUUACCAACAGAAAACACCUGCUAACUUCGUGCCAGCAGCCGCGGUAAUACGAAGGGUGCAAGCGUUAAUCGGAAUUACUGGGCGUUUCCAGUAAAGGAAAGGUUCAGCAAGUUGGAUGUGAAAUCCCCGGGCUCAACCUGGGAACUGCAUCCAAAACUACUGAGCUAGAGUACGGAGAGGGUGGUGGAAUUUCCUGUGUAGCGGUGAAAUGCGUAGAUAUAGGAAGGAACACCAG
rnacentral:rRNA from 1 species